ACACACACACACACACACACGCGCGCACACACACGCGCACAUGCUCACACACACGCGCACACACACAAAUACAUGCUUGUAAAGACAUGUUUGACAUAAUCUCUUACAUGCAAUCAUGCAUGCACUGACUCAUCGCCAUACAUACUUUACACUCAUAGCUUUGCUUAUUUGUAUUAUACUCAUACUGACACAUGGACCUUUGACAACAAGUAUGUAUGUAUGGAUUCCAGUGCACAUUUAUGAACUGACACAUACACACAUGACAUAUACACACACACACACACAUACACACACACACACACACAGAGAGAGAGAGGAACAUUUCUAGCAUUCACUCUGGACUUCUCCAAUAUAAUGGACCCUGUCAAGAAAAAGGAUACUCAUAAUUACAAAAAUAUUCUUUCGGCAGAUCCUUCGAAAAUCUUUUUUUUUUUACAGUGGAUUGAUUGUAUUGGAUUGCAUCGUGGAUUGCUGCGGAGGAUUUACGAACCAGUUGGAAUAAAGGAAAGAAACUGUUUUCUCUUUGUCACGUACGGAUUAACAACACAAAGCCUGCGAAGAAUAAUAAUAAUUGAUGGAUUACAUUUGGCCAGUGAGAUGCCCCUGUGUGACGGACUUUCUCCUUUCCUGAUGUGAUCCAACAGGGGGCGCCAUUUCCCCACUAGUCACCACAGACCAGAUUCAGCAAUAACAACCAGUCGAUCAGUCCAGCAGACUCAGACACAUGGACACACACACACACACAACACACACACACACACACACACACACACACACACACACACACUCUCUCUCUCUCUCCCUCUCUCUGAUCUACCCACAGAGACCCAUCUGGCUUUGAUUGCGAUUGCGAUUGCAAUUACGGCUUGAGUUGUAAGCCUUUCGAGACUAAUGCUGAGGGCAUGUUCGAGAAUGUCAGGCUUGGAGCAACCAGGAGCAUCACCCAACAGGUUGAAGAGCUGGAAUAGACCUUUUUGGCCCCCCUGGUUGGGUUCUUUGUUCUGACGGACCUAAGUGCGUAUUUAUAUUCCAGCACAAAUCAGAACUUUAUGUGGUACUAUAACUCCCCCCCCCCCCCCCCCCUAUUUUUCCUCCUUGCUUAUUGCACAGAAUUGUAUAUGUGGGUUCUGUUGUUGUCGUUGUUUUCAAAAGUUACAAAAACAUGAGCUCCAAGGCCAGCAGGAAAUGCUUUGGAUCUGUUUAUCUUGUGUUGUGUAUGUUUUUUUUUUUUUAUUAUUAUUAUUGUUAAGCAUAUGUCUUUUUGAAUUGCAAAAAAAAAAAAAGAGAAACUGGAGCAAAUUGAAACCUUUUCCCCUCAAACCUUGACACCGGCAGUCCCACAUAAGUAUGCAGGGUCUGAUUGGUUCCUCUGGGGAGGAGAAAAACAAAAUCCACUGUGUUUUCACGUUCCCCGACUCGGACGCUAAGAUGGAUGGACAUGUCUUUUUUUUUUACGGCCAGGAGCAGGACACGUAAUUUACAACUUGGAUUAUGUUACUAUUGGAUUAAAUCACGUAAUUUUCAUCUUGGAAUUUACACUUGUGAACUAACAAUGGGGCCAGGCUCUGAAAGAAGGUUCUGUAGUUCUAUGGCAAUACACGAUUCUAAUCAAGACUUGGCCCUGUAUCAAUCAAGUCCUCUGCGGAACCUAUCGACUGGGCUGCCAAGCCCUGAUCCAGAAGCAGAGCUCACAUGGGGAAUACCAGGCCAAAUAAGUUGUCUAAAUAGGAACAAUUGAUUCCUAGUCCUGUUCGUCUGCUUCUAGAAUGUUCUGGUUGGGUUAGUGUCCUGUUGGGGCUGAUUUUUUCCCCCCAUUUUUAAAAAAUAUAAAGGUAGCAUAACUCCUCCCUUUAAACUUGUAAAUAUUCAUGUUUAAAAUUGUAGGCCCUCAUUUAAAUGAUAGAAAAAGACCAAAGUCAGUCAGUAAGCAAUGUGACUCGGGCACCAACUAAAGCUAUCGUUUAGUUUGAUGAUUGAUUGAGCUUACCCACCGAUGUUUGUGCUUUGGAUGUUGGAUGGAAUCCGGAUGAAAUCAGCAACAAGAUGUUGCCCAGUUUGUUAAAUUGGCGUUAGUUACACGUUAGACUUUGCACUUCCUCGUCUAAAUUAGGGCCCCCUUGUCUUUUUGUGACUCAUGGACACUUAAGCUCACCAGCUAACUACUGCACGACUUGGUCAUCCCUGACAACUCCGCUCCCUCCCCCUCCACCUCCACCCCCCACUUUGAUUGGUGUGUUGAGUUGAAGGAGUGACACAUGUUAAAAAAAAAGGAGGGAAAUAAUUUAAGCAACAUGUAUGUAAUAUCUCACCAGCAAUUUGUACUGCUAUCUGCCUACGAGAGAAAAGAUGUGUGUGAAUCGAUUAGCAUUUUGCCUUGUCUCAGUUCAGACGUUUUGUCUCAGUUCAGACCAAUGUUUUCUUUUAUUACUAAUGCUUUCUGUUUGCAUUCGUAAUGGAUUGCGAGAGCAGGACUUUGCAUGUAAUUGGAUAGCUGCCUAAAUUUCACCCGUUUUAUUUUAUGAAACUGCGAAUGUCUGACAUAUGACAUGACAUACUGUAGGCCAGCAUUCCUACCCCACUCCAUUUCAUUUUUACACCUUAACAGUCUGUGGCACCUACAUCCAAGACUUCUGAGAAUCCCAUCCCCGAACCUAAUAUGUUCCACAGGCCUGAAGAAAAGCUGGAAGAUUUGUGCUGACUUAAGCGUCCAAUAUUUAGGCCUCAUCAUUCAGCACUGAGGACCAGGUAUGUAGUUGGACUCAAUAACUUAUUUAGUUAUGUAGUUGGACUCAAUAACUUAUUUAGUUAUGUAGUUGGACUCAAUAACUUAUUUGGUUAUGUAGUUGGACUCAAUAACUUAUUUAGUUAUGUAGUUGGACUCAAUAACUUAUUUGGUUAUGUAGUCAAACUCAAUAACUUAUUUAGUUAUGUAGUUGGACUCAAUAACUUAUUUGGUUAUGUAGUUGGACUCAAUAACUUAUUUAGUUAUGUAGUUGGACUCAAUAACUUAUUUGGUUAUGUAGUCAAACUCAAUAACUUAUUUAGUUAUGUAGUUGGACUCAAUAACUUAUUUGGUUAUGUAGUCAAACUCAAUAAGUUAUUUAGCUAUGUACUUGGACUCAAUAACUUCUGUGAUUUAGAAUCGCUGUUAAAAAUCCAUCCCAGCUGUCAAUCAAUCUGAUCCGAACUCAUCUGUCACCUGCCAUCUGGGCCCUGAUAAGAAUAUCUUCUCUAAUACAGUCAUUCAUUUGAUGAAAAGAAAGUGGCGUUUUACAUCUUAGCUUAUGGACAGUUUGUCCCAAUCGUUAAGAGGAAUGUCCAUCAUUGGUAAACCAGAUAGCUGCGUUACUGACCAGGAUGAGGCCCAGAUCAGUCAGUCAGUCAGUCAGUCAGUCAGUCAGUUAGUCUGUCUGUCUGUCUAAUAUGGAGUUCCAAUGGACUAGAUCCAGUCUCGUUUUUCUUCCUUUCUUUCCUCUUUUACUCUUUCUUUCCUCAUUCUCCCUUUUUCCCUCUCCCACUAUGCCCAGUUGUAUUACUCCCCCCCCCCCCCUCCUCUCUCUCUCUGACCCCAUCUUACUAAUGCAAUUGAAUGUGUGAUCCCUUUGCAGAGAGGGGUUGUGGCCUAGCGUGUCCACCCACGGCCCUGUGGUGCGGUGUUUAUGUUUACAUUCAAUUUAUGCAAGUUGACUUUGAGCUGAUGUGUUACGUUGCACUGGAAGGGCCGAUUUGGUUCAAAUGCAGGACUGACCUUUUUUUUUACUUUUUUUUUUUUUUUUUUUUAGUAGAAAGUGAUGCUCAAGAAUCGGCUGCUUUGAGAUAGUUUCUAAAGGACCACUGUCAGUUGUCCCCUCUUUAUUUCUUUUUUCUCUCUCUCUCUCUCCCUCUCUUUCUCACUGUCUCUUUCUCUGUCUCUCUAAAUCAGCUGAUCGGAGAUCAGUUUUGAAGAUCACUGUCAGUUUUCCUUUUGAUUCUUUUUACUGUCAUCCCCCUAUCUCUCUAGCUCUCCUUUUCUCCAUCCCUCGUUUACUGGUUUAGUAAAAAUCCGACACCGUGUCCUCUUCUGUAAUGUUUUGCGGCCACAGGGACAGCAUAUACUUGGUAUUGGGAUUACAUUUAAAUGGUACCAAGAAACUGCCCACGUUUAUAUUCAUCCACACCAGCAUCUUUUCAGGCCGACCGGGAAGCUACACCGUGCGCAGAAAUGAAGUGUUCCGUUCGCAACGCGUAAAAGCAAUUUUGGAAGACUAGUCUAUUUUUUUUUCGAACAUAGCCUACGCACUGAUAUCACAUCUGGUGUAGCCAGUUCCAUUGAUCAUAGGGGGAGCUAAUUGUUGCAGCAGACGCAAUGCGAACGCAACACUUCGCUUAUGUGUCCAGUUUAGCCUCCUUGUUGGAGUAGGAAUUUUUAGCAAUGUUUCUAGUUUGGGCAAGCGAAAUAUUACCAUAUUCCUUCUGAUAUUCCACUACUGUUUUACUUUAACAUGUGUUCCCCCUAGAGCUACGAUUGUAGACAAAAGACCACCUCAUUAAACUGGACUUUCAAAACCAGGUUAAGGCGUAAGGCAAAUAAUGCUUGUGACCGUAACCUUUUUGUUUUUGUUUGUUUGCUUGUUUGUUUGUUUGUUUGUUUGUUUGUUUGAUUAAUUGUUUUUGUAUGGGAAUAUUAACAAACUGAAAAUAUGCUAUAAGGGCAACUUGUUCACUUGGGAGGGGCGCGGCGGGGCGGGGUGUUGUUCUUUUCAUCUUGUCUGGUUGUAUUGUACCUUUGUGUCUGUGAUUUUGGGUGUCCUCUGUCUUUCAGUCCAUGUGUACAACUGUAUGUUUUUGUAAAGAAUAACGUUUUUUUUUAGAAUAAACCAGAACAUUCCAAAAUAAAAAAAAACAACGAU